rnacentral:misc_RNA from 1 species
GUUCAAUCACUCGGGAGUUUCUCAGCCGCAUGGAUCGUGCGCUCGUUGGCCAUCAGAUUGAGUGCAGAUUUUGAAAGUGUUCUGCAAAGUGCUUAUUGUGUUGUAAAUCAAUUACAUCUCUAAUUAAAACUCAACCAUUUUGUGAAUACUGAAGACUUGCGGCUGGCUCGAAAGUCUUUUCCAUCUUACAACGAGAAAAAACCUUUCAAAAGGGACAUCAAGAGAGGAGGAGGAAGAAAAGACCGUCGCAGCAUCAACAUGGCGCAGGAGACAGAGGCAGUAGCAGGAGUCAAGGGUCAGCCCCGAGACCAUAUCGAGGAGGAUGAAGUCAGCGAACUGCACCGGACACGCAGCUUUUACGACGGAGUGCGAGAGCAGGCCGAGCGCUUUGCUAGCACGCGCUUGGGUCAGUUCAUAAUCGAACGCGGGGAUCGUGCGCUUCGGAUGAUCGAGGACACGGCCAAGUGGAGUCUGCCGCAGGAAAAAUCUGCUGAUCCCUUGCAACGGCCUCUGCCCUGGGGUCCGUUCCUGUUUCUGAUCAUUAUGCUGCGCCUCACGCGCAUGUGGUUGUCGCUGGGCGCAUUGAUGAUCGGCAACAGCCCCAUCUCCCCCUCCGACUUGGUCUACUUCAUUCAGACCAGGCGCCGCAAGUUACGAGCCAUUCGAGUGCAUGGUCUAAAGGUGAUGCGGCAGCGCCAGCAGGAAGUAUCCUACGGCAGUGGCAAGGGCUUAACCCAUAAGCUCACCCAGUGGUUUUCCCGGGCUAUGUGCCGCCCUGGCGUACAGAAGGCCAACAGCGGGCGACUCUUCCAGGUGCGCAACAUGGAGCAGACUACACAAACCAGUCCGGCUGUGAUGAAGCGUCCGCGUGAGGAUGAGACGAACACUGAUCUUGAAACCGACCACAACCUUACCAUCGACCAAAUGCUGGCCAAAUACGCCCUGGAGAACUCGGAAGAUGACUCUGACUUCGUGCCCAAUCCCGAUGAGGAGGAGGAAAGCAGCGACGGCACCAGCUCCGAGUCCAACACCAGCGAGGAGAUCAGCAGCGAUGAGGCAAAUGAUAUUGCCGAUCAGGCCACACGAAAGCCCCCAGCUUUGGUGGUGGAAAACGGUGUACACAAGGCAGAACCCAACGAGAGAAAAGACAAGGAGAUGGAGAUGGCAAAGCAAAAUGACAAGGGGAAGCUGAGCGCCACGACAACCAGCAAUGGCGGCCACGACAAGGAGCAGGCGGAAGUUGGUAAUGGACAUUAAACUGUUAUUAAGACGCUCGUGCGUAGCCCCCUAAGCCUAGGUUAACACCAGUAUCGAAUAUCGAUUAAGCGUAGAUGAAACUGAACUUGAAACGUUGUCAUGAAAUACAAUACAAUAACGAUACCAAUACACAAUAUACUCCCGAGAUCGAUUCAGUCAUUGCUAGUGCCAGAUCUAAGGGGAUCUCCCAGUGGAUCUUGGCCAUAUCCAUCGUCCAUCAAUCCAUCCAUCCAGCCAUCUGUCAUUCCGUCCAGUUUUGCAGUAUACGAAAAUUCCAAAUUUGCCUUAAGAGUUUUCAGGUGGGGCCAGGCUGAAGGAGGACAAGUGGAAGUCCUCGCCGGGACACAUGAGUGCUGCCAUGACGAAAAUCCAAUCCUACAACAGCACGGCAGCUGCAGGUAACUCACGAGAUAUUCGCUCCCACUCGAUCGCAGUUGAAACCGAGUUGAUCGAGUGCUCCCAAUUAACAUUUUAACGAUCACCAACCCUAUUUAAUACCAGUCUGGGGACUCAAGCUCUGCUGAAGAGUGUGAGCAUUCAAUCUGUCUUGGCACACUCCACUCCCACCUUGGAACUGGAAGAUGUGGCCUCUGAAGCACCCUCCCAUCAGCCUGAACCCGAGAUAGCCCCAUCGCAGCAGAAGCAGCCACAUCAGCAUCAGCAACAGCAACAGCAGCAGCAGCAGCAGCGACAGAAUAACUAUUCCCACCAACGCUAUCGCGGACGCAACAGACGCUAAGCGAUAAUGCAUUCUAUCUAUCUAUAUAUCUAUAUAAAUUUCCUUACUUUUUUACUUUAAAUUCCCAUAUUGUUAGUGAAUAUCGUACUGCGAGUAAAUCUCUGAACUCAA